UGACGGUCAGUCCUAGACAAAGACCAGCCAGGGUGGUCUUGCCAUUUCCUGGUCUGGGUCAGGAUCCGACCGCUUAGUGAAGCACUUAAAGCUGAUCGUUCCUUAACUGCAUAUGAAAGAUGAUUUGUCUUCCAAAUGAAAUUCUCUUCCCUUUAUCAUGCACUAUUUUUUACUAGGGCCCAUAGGGCUUUGUUCAAAAGUAGUGGACUAGAUUGGGAAUAGGUUUUCAUUUUGGAUUCAGAUCUGGAUCUUUUUGUCUCAGCAAAGAUCCCAACCUCCUUCAAGAGAGAUUUAAUCCUGUGUCAAAUCACCUCACAAACCAUGCCUGCAUUAUGACAAUAUACAUAUUAUACUACACUAAAUGAUUAUAUUAUAUUAUGAAUUUAAUAGGAGGUAAAUAUAUAUAUUCCAGAGCAGGCUGCUGAAUGCUCCCCAUCUGCGGGAUGUGGGUGACUUCCCAGGGUACUGAUGCUUUGGGACAAGGGUCAUAAUGUUACGGAAUCAGGAGUGAACAGGAAGCAAAUUCAAAAUCAUCCCAUAAGGAUUUCUGGAAAAUGUAUGAAUUUUGAGAAAGGCUUUUUGCAAUUCUAGUCGUGAGGUUGUUUGACUGUUUAUUUACGCAACUGGACGAUGAAAUCAGUUUUUUUAACUACUAAUACUACUGUCUGUAGGUCAGGUAUGUCUCAGUUAGGUUUCAACAACUGAUAUACAACACAUUGGUCAAUAUAUUCAGUACUCUUGUACUUUUAAACAGUGCUUUUAAGAUGUACAAAUUGUCUAACCCCAAAAUCUUUAACCAACAUCUGUUAUUGAUGUUUGUGCAAUACCACAGAGAGCUUGCAUGCACAAAAAAUAUUUAAGAUGAUUCUUUUUGUGCAGAACAACUCUGUGGUAUUGCUGUAUGGAGGCCAGAUGUGUUGUAGACUCAUGGCCAAAGAGAGGAGUCGCCGAAGCAGCAGCCAUGGCUAAAUACACACAGUAGUAAACAGUACGUAGCUGGAAGGGUUUCUGAAGCCUGAUUAAUAUCGACGCAACAACGCAACGCCAGAACACCAGUCCCCUACUUUAAAUACUUAGUAUAGUUACUUAGUAUGGUAGUGUUGAGUUACAAACUCGGGAGCUACACCCAACAGUGUAUUUCUCCUAUGCAAGGACACGGGCGGCCAUUUUGCGUGGCUUGGGGGCGUUUUAACGUUGCCUACUUGCGUGUGGUGUCCGUGGGGCUCAAGACAGAGACAUGAGACCAGGCCAAAGGGAGACACUGGUGUUAAAGAGCAGUAUUGCUAUUCGCCUGACUUAGCAUAUAACCCAACCUUUCUUAUAUAACUCUUUAUAUAACGCUGACUGUUCAACAAUACUCUUUUUAUCUCUUUGCAAAUAUCAUUGUAUAAAAAUGUUGUUCUCUAACAAUAAUGUAAAUGAAAACAAACAUGGUGAUGACGGACAACUGAUUUUCCUUGUCCGAAAAAAAGGCCCCUUAUUUCCUGUAAAAGGCUCGACUUUCUCGCUUUACUGUGGUGAAAAGUAGUGCUCAAUAUAGGUUAAAAGGUGUCAUAUGAAACGUAGCCAUUUUCUUUAACGGGUCUUCAGGUGAGGUUGUUUUUGUUACACAAUAUUAAUAUAUAUAUCAACAGACACCUUUUGCAGUAUUUUAUACAUCCAUUCAGAUUCUCUUGUUUAUAUUACUCUGUUUUUCUACUAUAAUAAUAAACAUCAUCGUGAUAAUAAUAAUAUUUAUGAUGAUAUAGGCCUACAUCUGUACUGAACAUGGCUGUUGGCAGAAUGCUCUGCUUGGUGUAGGGUGAAGUUGCCCCUGAACGCUGAUCUUGUGUCAGUUUAGCGUUUCCCACGCUAAUCAAGACUAGGCCAAGUUUGGGAUUAGUGUAGGGGAAACUGAACCUAGAUCUGUACCUAUGGGAAACUUUGCUACUUUCUGUUCUGGUACGGAAGCUGUCUUUUUCAGCGCGGUGUCACCAGUUCAGGGUCGGUUAGCCUCCAGUUCACUUCCGGGUUGUGUUAGUGUUGUCUUGCCGACGUGAGGUCAUGUGAGUAAGCUGACACCUGUUAAAACCUCUCCAGUGCUGUCUGUCAUUGGUCUACCAACAUCAUUCCACAAUGAGUUGGCAAGAUGGCACAAAACAGACUAGCAGCCAGGCUAAGAGAUACUUUGCUUGCAUUGCAUCAUAGCCUGGGCAUCAGUGUGUUUGUGCUUGCAUUCCCCUCUCCUUGCAUUCCGUGUCAUAUAUUUGACAUGACAUGGAGUGGCAAGAAUGGAAUAAUAGCACAACCAGGUCUGGUUCCAGGCAACAUUAUACCUAAGAAGUUGGUGACAACCUGCCGCUUUGUCUUGCUAAGUUUAUCUGUGCUCUGUCUCAGCGCACAGAUCCAUUACAGUGAAAUGUAUUUUUUCUUUUUCAAGAAUUUGUUUUGUUUUCAUAAUGCACUCUAUGCUAUGUAUCUAUUCCUGUGGCCUUUUUCUCAAUAGAAUAUAUCAAAGCUGAUAUGCAAAGUUGUUUUUCCUAAAUAUAUUAUAGCAUUAUUGCAGAAGACGACAGUUAGUAUUUUACAUGCCUGUUAGGAUUUCAUCCUUGAAAUCGGAACACAGUCACAAAAGUCCCACUUCGUCCCAAAUGGUACAUUAUUUACUUUAUACUUUUGACAUUGACAUCAUAGAGCUCCAGUCAAAAGUAUUACAUAAUGAUUAGGGUGCCAUUUUGAACAUUAUCUUGAGCUACAUCUUAGGGUUGAAAUGUAUUUCAGUACAAAGCUUCUUCUUUUUUAAAAGAUAUCCUUGAUUUCAAGCUGCUUCGUGUGUUUGUGUCUUUAUAACUAUGAAAGAUACAUCAUCAGUGUUGUUCUGUUUUUGUAUAUUUGCCAGAACACAGGAAACAUGUUUUCUGGGUCAUUUUAUUGUAUCUACAUCCUGGUACCAAGCAUACGUCCUCAUUAGCACCCUAUUCCAAAUGUACCUCCCUACUUUGGUCAAAAAUAGGGCACUGGAGGGAAAAGUGGUGCAAUAUGUAGGGAUUAGGGUGGUAUUAGGCACCGAGACGGAACAGUGUUGGAGAGGGAGGGAGUGAUGGAAAGAAAAGAGGAAAAAAAAGAAUAGAAAGUGAAUGAUGUAAGAAAAGUUAAUCUUACCUCACAGAGGGAAUUUUCAGGGAUUUUUUUGGACAAUGAUGCAUCUUCUGCUUUGUGUAACAGCUUUACGCCAGUUCAGCAGCUGUUUUUUUAUGUGUGCAUUUGAUUAAAAUCCACCCUACACUGGGUUUGUCAACAGGGCAGUUGGACAUUCUGAUGAUGGAUGUGUGACAAUGGAUGUGUGAUGAUGGAUGUUUGAUGGCUCAGCGUAUUGUGUAGAAACCAACACCAGACAUGUUUAUACUGCAAAUAAAUAUGGAAUUAUUUUUUCUUUAACGUGUAAUUGACUCUUGUAUGUGCGUGCGUGCGUGCGUGCGGCCAUCUGUGUGUGUCG
ensembl:lncRNA